rnacentral:rRNA from 1 species
UACGAAGGGGGCUAGCGUUGCUCGGAAUCACUGGGCGUAAAGCGCACGUAGGCGGCUUCUUAAGUCAGGGGUGAAAUCCUGGAGCUCAACUCCAGAACUGCCUUUGAUACUGGGAAGCUUGGAGUCCGGGAGAGGUGAGUGGAACUGCGAGUGUAGAGGUGAAAUUCGUAGAUAUUCGCAAGAACACCAGUGGCGAAGGCGGCUCACUGGCCCGGUACUGACGCUGAGGUGCGAAAGCGUAGGGAGCAAACAGG